CUCUCUCUCUCUCUCUCUCUCUCUCUCUCUCUCUCUCUCUCUCUCUCUCGAGUACAUCACCUGCAAAGAACUGAAAUUUGUCAUUAUGAGCUUGAUGUGCGUCUCUUUUUGUGUUUUUAUGUUUCCCUUUUGAGCUUGGAUUUGAAUAAUUUGAUUUUUCAUUGCAAGAUUAUACAUGAGUUGCAUAGGCUACAAUGAUUUUGUAUUUGAAUUUUGUUAGUUUUGGCCAAAACUUGCAAUGGGUAGAGGUUAGAAUGAACAACGGGCCAUCAUACUCUGUUAUAAGCUCAAAACCCAUUAAAACUCAAUUAUUAAAUCAUUUGUUUUGUUGAUUCAUCCACGUUUUCUCAAAAUUCAAAUAAAACUUUGAAAAAUUACAUGUCCCCAAAAUUGAAAACAAUAAAAUAGAAAGGCGGCCAUUAUUUUGAUGGUAGAUUGGCCAAAAUCAGCCCAAAUAUGGGUCUAUUUUUUUUCCCUUCGAAAUUUCAGUUUAUCACACGAUUUACCUGUAUUUUGGAGCACUUUUAUUUCAUGGGUGGGCCAAAUUUUGGUUUGGGCCCAUCAUCAAAGCUGAAAUCUGGAAGUUCCAGACUGGAAAUUUACUCCUCAAGUUUUCAGCAUUUGGGUGGGACUCUUGUGAGAGAAGGGACCUUCCCCCACACCUGAAGGUUGUGUCUGUACUAUAUAUUUGUGUUAAUUAUGGGUCUAAUUAUAUUUUCAUGAAAACACAUCUGCAUAUUCGGCCUAAAGAGCAAAGAGUUUAUGGUAGGUGGUAUGGUAGAUAUAACUGAUUGUUUUUUAGAGAUCUGUAAAUUAAAGUGAUGGGAACCAUUUUCCUUUCUUACUUGUCCUCAAAACAAUUAUAAAAAAAAAACAAAAGAGGGAGAAAAAAAAAGAAACUCAAAUUGGACAUGGGUUCCUUAUUCAGUGUUUGAUUAUUUCUAAAUUCACCAAAAACUGAGGCCGUUGGCCAUGUCUAUACCUAUAUGAGCUUACCAUCUUAUAUUUACAAAAAUGAGGAAGAGCUGAAACCCUUCCAUGUUCGCCAUGGAAGUCACUAUAUGUUCUGUUUUAUCUUCCUUGGUGGGAAAGCUACGGGUGAAUUAAAGUAACAAACUUAAUUACAACACAUAGCAGCCUAUGAGCCCCCUCUUUGAUACUUAAUUAUCAAAAUCAACAAUUACUCCAUUUUAUGUUCUAUAAAUAUAAAAGGAUUGUAAAAUUAUAUAAAUUUUCAAAAUUAAAGAAAACUCCAUUUUAUGUUAACGUAAAGGAUUGAAAAUCGUGUAUCCCAAAUUUGUAUACCGAUAAUACAGAAACUGUGUAUUUAGUGACUGCAGGUGCUGAAGCUAGGGUUUUCUGAUGUGCAUGCUGCUAGUGAUCAUAUAUCUCUAUGUCCAUCUAUUAUAAAUGUGCUUAGAAACAUACACACGUAUGUAUCUGUGCAUGUGUGUAAGUUUGUAGGCUGAAGCUAGAAUCUUCCCUUUUGGCAUGCUAAUAAUGUAAAUUUCAUAUGUCUAUUUUUAUGUAUUUAGCGACCAUUUGUACUGAAGCUUGGGUUUUCUCAUGGGCAUGCUGUUAAUGACCAUAUAUCUCUAUGUCUAUCUAUGCAUAAAUGUUCUUAUAGAGACAUCUACGCAUGUAUGUAUCCACACAUGUAUGUAUAUUUGUUUGCUGAAGCUAGAAUCUUCCCUUUGGCAUGCUAAUAAUGUCAAUGGCUUAUGUCUAUUUUUAUGCAUAUAUUUAUUAUGUAUGUUUCUCCACUGAUUAUGGAUGUCGAACCUAAGAUUUUCUGAGGAUUAUGGUAGUAAUGAUGAUCCCCAAGUCUAUGUGAACGUUUUUUUACAUGUGUAGCACAGCUCUUCAUAACCCAUUUAGUUCUUUCAUUAAUCUGACUAACAGAUUACUUGCAGCUAAUGUGAGCUCGCACGCACGUGUGUGUGUGUGUGAGAGAGAGAGAGAGAGAGAGAAAGAGAGAGAGAGAGAGGAGGGAGGAGAGAGAG
rnacentral:lncRNA from 1 species